rnacentral:rRNA from 1 species
UAAGGAAUAUUGGUCAAUGGAGGCAACUCUGAACCAGCCAUGCCGCGUGCAGGAUGAAGGCGCUAUGCGUCGUAAACUGCUUUUGUACCAGAGAAAACCUUUCUACGUGUAGAGAGUUGAUAGUAUGGUAAGAAUAAGGAUCGGCUAACUUCGUGCCAGCAGCCGCGGUAAGACGAAGGAUCCAAGCGUUAUCCGGAUUCAUUGGGUUUAAAGGGUGCGUAGGCGGGUUUGUAAGUCAGUGGUGAAAUCCUAUCGCUUAACGAUGGAACUGCCAUUGAUACUGCAGACCUAGAAUAUAGAUGAUGUUGGCGGAAUAUGACAUGUAGCGGUGAAAUGCAUAGAUAUGUCAUAGAACACCGAUUGCGAAGGCAGCUGACAAAACUAUAAUUGACGCUGAUGCACGAAAGUGCGGGGAUCAAACAGGAUUAGAUACCCCCGUAGUCC